rnacentral:rRNA from 20 species
GGUUGACCUCGGAUCAGGUAGGGAUACCC